AUGUUCCAUACUUUGCUUUUUUCCCUGUUCAGGCAGAAUGUACUGCUCUUCAGUGUCUUUUAUUUCCGAGUGUUAAUAGUUCAUCUCCCUCAAGUCAGCAAAAUACUGAUCAUAAUUGCAGUUUUGGACUUCAGUGCAUUGUGCAGGUUGUACACGUGGAGAUGCUUUGUCUGUGAAUCCCUUGAACUCCCAGGGGCAGCAGAGGCUUUCCGUGUCUCAGGGAUGCUCUGGAACUGCAUCAGCUCUUCUGGAGGAACGGGCUCCCUGGAGCAGACUGCUGCCAAGAACAGCAGUUCUCUGCUGUACGCUUUGCACCGAAAAUGUCCACCCGCCUCACACCAGUGCAUUGAAAUGCAGCGCGACAAGGCAGCAGGUUCCCAGAAGGACUCAGUGCAAACAGCCCGGCAGUUCAAAGCCAAAGACGACAUCAGCCUGCUUUCUGCAGAGGCAUCGGGAUGA
rnacentral:lncRNA from 1 species